UCUUUCUUAGUCUUUGUCGAGACUUUUUCGCCUCGACGAAAGGAGACGGCGUGACCGAGCUACGCGAUCUGUCAGACGGAAGAACAACGAAAUUACGAUCGGACAAUUAGACGGGCUAUCGUUGCGUACAUCUGCAGUAUUCUAGCUAAUUUUUCAGCGACGGUAUGCUAGACACACGGAUAGAAACGGAAGUAAAAAGGAAAUUAGGAGGAGCAUAGAGAGAAUCGAGGAAAGGGAUAACUGGUUGAGAUACAUGGAAAUUUUCACGUUAUUCCGUAUUGAAUACCUUACUGCCAAAAAAUCCUAGAGAUUUCCUUUUCGUACGGUUCUUUCAUAUUUCAAUCUACUUCUCGCCUUUGUAUUUCUCGUCUUUCCACCUUUCUCUUUCGGUGAAAACGACGAAGAGUCGAAAUAAUCAUAUCGGACUUUCUUCUUUGCAAGAAACAAAGUACGUAACAGUUUAUUCCAUUCAGAUCUGCAUCACAAGGUAUUUGUCCAUUAGUAUUUAAAUCGCGUAUUCUUGUUUUGAUUCGUAGUUAUUAAUAUUAUUACUUGUAUUACUAUUAUUUUUUUAUUUUAUUAUUAUUAUUAUUAUUAUUAUUAUUAUUAUUGCAAUUAUUAUUAUUAUUAUUAUCACUAUUAUUAUUACUAUCACCGAUUAGUUAUUGUAUCAUUAAUAUUAUUAUUACCGCGUACAUCAUAAUAAUAGUAUGGCUGUAGAAAAAAAUGUAAAUCGGAACGAGACGAUGCCACCUUGCCAGCUAGCCAUCACUACCACUGUUUUCUCCCUUCCGUUACUCAUAGCAUCCUUCGAGAAAUACGAACGAAAAUGAAAAAAAUGGUAUACACUUCGAUAUGCGUUAUUUCCAAAGUGAGGAUCGAGACGUACAUGUAUGCGUGUGUGCCUGAGUGUUUUCUUGUAUGCGCGCGCGCUCUUUGCAUCCGAAAGAAGCGGUACCGAAGCACAUAAAGAAAAACAAACAUGCGACUCUCUCUCCUUUUUUUUUGUACUGGUUUGUUAUGUUAUUUUUUUUUUUUUUUUAAACGAUACAACCCGAUUGUUCUUAAUUUAAAUUGUAAAUCGUAUUUUUGUUUGUUUUUUUAGUUAUUUUUUGUUGUAAAAUGCUUUUUAAUAAUAUUUUCAGUUCACAUUACACCGACAACUGUCAGUUUUUUGUCUCACUUUAUUUCUUCUUACUCUCGCUCGCUUCUCCGUACCUUCUUUCGUCCCCGAAAACACACCACUUGUGUACCCUUUUUUUUAUUUACGCUUCAUCGAUCCAACCCCCAACUAUACGUACACGCGCGAUAGAAUUUUAACCCUGUCCCGUUAUCGAUCUAUCUGUAUUUUCCUAACGUUAUUUGCUAAUCUUAUCAAAUAGCUCUCUAACUUUAACGGCAAUAUGAAGAAAUUGUCGUCGGUAUACGUGGUCAGCGCUUCUUUUCAACUUUUCCAACUUUCGCCAUUUCCUAUCCUACUUAUAAUACAUGGAAAAAAUGUACGAGAUAAGACAAUUCUUUGUUAUAGUUCUAAUUUUGUUACUCGUAGUCGCGUGUUCGGACAAAGCUAAAUUUAUUACACACCGACGAGAUAAACCUGCUCGUUCGUUUUUCCAUCGAGAACUAAACAUUGACCGAAUACGACGUUCGAUAUAACGUUUCCCACGGUUAAUCGAUAUUUUUGAUUUUACGAUCGACAAUGAUUAUCGCUGAUCUGCUACAACGACCUAACUGAAAACUCGUAGUUUUUGAGUUGCCGGGUAUAAGAGAAACAAUUUUUCCUUACGUUUUCUAUCGGUAGAGUCGCUCUAUUGUAUCGUCACGAGACUAUAACAGUUGAGAACGUUCAAACACGUUUCUCCCAAAGUGGUGAAUUUUGCGUCAUUGUUGCAGAAAAUGAGCGAUAUACAGUAAGAAACGUUAUAAUCGUGUUUAAGGACAUUUUAGAAAGUGAUUCAAGCGAUUUUUUAAAAUACUAAUAUUCUAUAUCUGUAUCGAUCGAUAACUCGAUGAAUCCAUUAACGACAGAUGGUUGAAAUCUUCCAUUUCAUUGGUAUGUGACGGGUGGACAGAAUUUCACCACCCCGUAACUUGUUUACGCGACCCAUAAGAAUAUGUAAGAAGCCCUGGUAUACUUGAUCGUUUGUCACGUAUUUUCUUAAGACGCGAACAAUAAAAUUCAACUAUAGAAAUCGCACGAUCGUAGCAGGGUUGAUCAAAAUUUCGUGAGACAUUUACGAUUUCAUAGCUCUCGCUUUUACCGAUACAACCGUCGGUCCAUGAUUUGUUACAUAUUUUGAUUAUACUUUUAUAAAAAUAUAAUAAAUUUUCACAGAAGGAAACGCAAGAUAAUUUAUUUUCAUUGUCGGAAAUCAACUAAUACGAAUUGUAUCAUUGUGAAAGAGAAAACAUCUCAAGACCUUUCUGUUCCAUUUUUCCAUCGAAC